GUCCUACGGGAGAAAGCAGGGGAUCUUCGGACCUUGCGCUAUCGGAUGAGCCUAUGUCGGAUUAGCUGGUUGGUGAGGUAAUGGCUCACCAAGGCGACGAUCCGUAGCUGGUCUGAGAGGAUGAUCAGCCACAUCGGGACUGAGACACGGCCCGAACUCCUACGGGAGGCAGCAGUGGGGAAUAUUGGACAAUGGGCGCAAGCCUGAUCCAGCCAUGCCGCGUGUGUGAAGAAGGCCUUCGGGUUGUAAAGCACUUUCAGUGGGGAAGAAAUCCUCGGGGCUAAUACCCUCGAGGGAGGACAUCACCCACAGAAGAAGCACCGGCUAACUCCGUGCCAGCAGCCGCGGUAAUACGGAGGGUGCGAGCGUUAAUCGGAAUUACUGGGCGUAAAGCGCGCGUAGGCGGCCUGAUAAGCCGGUUGUGAAAGCCCCGGGCUCAACCUGGGAACGGCAUCCGGAACUGUCAGGCUAGAGUGCAGGAGAGGAAGGUAGAAUUCCCGGUGUAGCGGUGAAAUGCGUAGAGAUCGGGAGGAAUACCAGUGGCGAAGGCGGCCUUCUGGACUGACACUGACGCUGAGGUGCGAAAGCGUGGGUAGCAAACAGGAUUAGAUACCCUGGUAGUCCACGCCGUAAACGAUGUCGACUAGCCGUUGGGGUCCUUGAGACCUUUGUGGCGCAGUUAACGCGAUAAGUCGACCGCCUGGGGAGUACGGC
rnacentral:rRNA from 1 species